GCCACUGUCUGAAGAAAGCCGGGCUCAGGAAGCCGCCGGAUUCCUGGACUCCGACGGCCAGCAGGGCAGAAAAGCAGACCCUUCCCGGCCAGCCACAAUCGGAGGGGGCGCUGGGCCCUGAAUGCGCACGCGCUGCGCACAGCCGUCCCCAAACGCUUCCGGUUCUCCGCUGGCGAAAUAGCCAAUUAUCGCCAGGGAUGAGUGACGUCUCGGGAUCGGACGGACGCCUACAGGGCAAGCUAUUAUGGGCGGCACUGAGCAGCUCUCCACCUAGCGGCGGAAUGGAGGGCGGCGGUAGUGGGCGCUGCAAGUCUCCUGAACCAAAAGCGCUGGGACAGAGCUUGAGGGAGCAAGUCUGAAUUCUUAUCAAAAAUUCUCACUCAAGGGACG